rnacentral:siRNA from 1 species
CGAGCAGGCUCCAGCUGGACUGCA